AACGUAGGAGACAAACGUUAUCCGGAUUUACUGGGCGUAAAGGGCGUGUAGGUGGUUUAGUAAGUCUGGCGUGAAAUUUUUCGGCUUAACCGGGAAAGGUCGUCGGAUACUGCAAGACUAGAGGACGGUAGAGGCGUGUGGAAUUCCGGGUGUAGUGGUGAAAUGCGUAGAGAUCCGGAGGAACACCAGUGGCGAAGGCGACACGCUGGGCCGUACCUGACACUGAUGCGCGACAGCAUGGGGAGCAAACAGG
rnacentral:rRNA from 1 species